UGGGGAAUUUUGGACAAUGGGCGAAAGCCUGAUCCAGCCAUGCCGCGUGGGUGAAGAAGGCCUUCGGGUUGUAAAGCCCUUUCGGCUGGGACGAAAAGGUUCGUGUUAACACCACGGACUCAUGACGGUACCAGCAGAAGAAGCACCGGCUAACUACGUGCCAGCAGCCGCGGUAAUACGUAGGGUGCAGGCGUUAAUCGGAAUUACUGGGCGUAAAGCGUGCGCAGGCGGUCUGCUAAGAGAGAUGUGAAAUCCCCGGGCUUAACCUGGGAACUGCGUUUCUAACUGGCAGGCUUGAGUGUGGCAGAGGGGGGUGGAAUUCCACGUGUAGCAGUGAAAUGCGUAGAUAUGUGGAGGAACACCGAUGGCGAAGGCAGCCCCCUGGGCUAACACUGACGCU
rnacentral:rRNA from 1 species